GUGGAAGCAGCUAAAGCAAAAUCCAGAGAGAGAGAGAGAGAUCUAAAAUAGGAAUAAUGUAAAAUGAUUUUUCAUUAGGCAGAAUCCUUAGAAAUGAGGUCCUCAAUGAGGUCGGCAGCCUCCUGGACGGUAGUGAUGCUUUGGGCACUCUCUUCCUCAACGCUGAUCUUAAAUUCCUCUUCCAGUCCCAUCACUAUCUCGACCUACAUCACAUCCCCCGCAUUCAAAUACACAAUUAAUCACCAAUUAUUAUUUUAAAUGGAAAGUUGUUAAGAAUAUUAUUAGAUUUCGUAUAUUAUAAUCAUUCUAGAAUGUGCAUUUCAAAUUAUAUAUAUAUACACAUAUAUAAAAGAAUUUUCAAGAGAAAAAGACGCUUUCAAGUUAUUAGAAAAUCAGGCAAUAUAUAUACACAAGGAAAUUGCUUUGGAUUAAAAAAUAUAAUUUAGAGUGAUUUUGAAAAUGAGAACUAAUUUUUUACCCUUCCAAAAUGUGUAUAUUUUGAAUUAUAAAAAAUAUUUUUCAAUAGGAAUAUACGUUUUUUAAGCAUUUGGAAAAUCAAGUAAUCUAAACUGUGAAUCAAAGCGCAACUUAUUUUCUUGAUCUCACUCUAGCGUUCAAAGUUUCAUGUCCGUUUAUUUUGGUUCUUCCUAAGGCCAUAUGUAAUUCACAAUACCAUUAAUUUAUUUGAGGGGGAAUAAAAUAUAAAAAGUAUAAAAGUUAAAAUAGAAGUAAGCAGUGUUUGGGUUUUAAAAUUUACUUAUCAUUUCAUAUAUUUAAUUUUUUUCCUUUUAGAGAACUGAAAGAAUUCAAUCUAUCCCAGAGGAAAAAAUUAGGAAAUAUUGAGUCCUCGUCAAGCCCCAUUUGGUAUUCAUCUUUUUUGUUUUUGUUUCUUUUAGAACUUAAGCUCAUUUCCAAUUGCAUUUUAUGCAUUUUUUUUGAAUGGAAUGAUUGAAUUCUUAGACAAAUUCCAAAAAACAAACACAAUUUUUUUGAAAGCUUACUGUUUUCUAGUUUUCAAGUUUUGGCUUAGUUUUUUUAAAUCAUUGGUAGAAUAUAGAUAACAAAAAAACAAACUUGGAGAUAGAAAAUAAAAUGAUCCAAAAGCUUAUUCUGCUGAUCAACCUUAGGAAUCGUAUUAUUGGCAAAAUUAAAAGAAAAAAAAAAGUUUCUAAGAACUACUUAUCAAAGGUUCUAGUUUUUGGUUUAGAAAAAAAUACUUAGUUUCCUCAACAAAUGAGGGGUUCUUCCCGCUUGUAAAAACAAAAUCUCAAUUCUCAGCUUAAAUUCCAAAUUUCAAAUUCCAAAAAUAAGUUUUUUUUUCCCGAUCUAUUCUACUUUUAGUUAUAAGAACAUUUUCAAAACCUUUAAAAAAACCAACACACACACACACACACACACACACACACACACACAUAUAUAUCAGCUUAAGUGGCAGAUGCUAGCAGUGAAAAUGGGACUAUAUGUAAAAUAUUGGAAAAAGUGUAAAUAAACUAAAGUAAAUAUGUGGGCAGAUGUGUAAUUACCGUAUCAAGAGAAUCAGCACCGAGGUCAGUAAACUUAGAUUCUCCAUUGACCUUAGAAUCUUCAGCUAAAGCAAGCUGUUUCCUCACAAUUUCAACCACCUUGUCCACUGUCUCUGGUUUCGCCUGUUCAACAAUUUCACUAUGUUACUAACAUUAUCGUAUUCAUGCAAGAAAUGAAACGAAGUGAAAGCAAGCCAUCAUCCUCCAUUGAAAUACAAUCUAAAGUCAAAACUAAUAGUAAUAAAGAAACACACACACACAACAAGAAGAAAACCAUAUCGAUCAUGGAAACUUUCGACGCCCUAACUUCAACUCACAAACAACACCUGAGGAUGGUCAAAAUAUUAACACUACAGAAGACUAUUUAUAUUCAUGGUGUGGAUUAAGGAAUGUAGUAGAAUCUAUCAACGCAAAUGUGAUGCUGAAAUGCUACAGUAAACAACAGCUACUUAUGUGCAGACUUGUUCUAGCAGUUUUAACCUUUUUUUUUUUUAUGAAUAUGGAAGUCAUUAGGUGCCAAUCUCCAACAAUUAUAAUCGAAGAAACAGGGACAAUAACCAUACAAAGAUUGAGCGAGCACGAACAGAAACAUAAUUUCAUGCCAUGGAUUCAUAUGUCAUAAAUCAAUAAUAGUUUUGAAAACAGUAUGUACAAAUGACAGAGGAAAAAACUUAGACGAUUCGAACUUAAAAGCCAGAAACAAAUAUGCAUGGAACUCUCAACAUCAUAACCAU
rnacentral:lncRNA from 1 species